rnacentral:rRNA from 1 species
GAUGAACGCUGGCGGCGUGCCUAAUACAUGCAAGUCGAGCGAACAGACGAGGAGCUUGCUCCUCUGACGUUAGCGGCGGACGGGUGAGUAACACGUGGAUAACCUACCUAUAAGACUGGGAUAACUUCGGGAAACCGGAGCUAAUACCGGAUAAUAUAUUGAACCGCAUGGUUCAAUAGUGAAAGACGGUUUUGCUGUCACUUAUAGAUGGAUCCGCGCCGCAUUAGCUAGUUGGUAAGGUAACGGCUUACCAAGGCGACGAUGCGUAGCCGACCCGAGAGGGUGAUCCGCCACACUGGAACUGAGACACGGUCCAGACUGCUACGGGAGGCAGCAGUAGGGAAUCUUCCGCAAUGGGCGAAAGCCUGACGGAGCAACGCCGCGUGAGUGAUGAAGGUCUUCGGAUCGUAAAACUCUGUUAUUAGGGAAGAACAAAUGUGUAAGUAACUAUGCACGUCUUGACGGUACCUAAUCAGAAAGCCACGGCUAACUACGUG